CCUACGGGAGGCAGCAGUGGGGAAUAUUGGGCAAUGGGCGCAAGCCUGACCCAGCAACGCCGCGUGAAGGAAGAAGGCUUUCGGGUUGUAAACUUCUUUCGUCAGGGAAGAGUGGAAGACGGUACCUGACGAAUAAGCCACGGCUAACUACGUGCCAGCAGCCGCGGUAAUACGUAGGUGGCAAGCGUUUUCCGGAUUUACUGGGUGUAAAGGGCGUGUAGCCGGGUUGACAAGUCAGAUGUGAAAUCCUGCGGCUUAACCGCAGAACUGCAUUUGAAACUGUUGAUCUUGAGUACUGUAGAGGCAGACGGAAUUCCUAGUGUAGCGGUGAAAUGCGUAGAUAUUAGGAGGAACACCAGUGGCGAAGGCGGUCUGCUGGACAGCGACUGACGUUGAGGCGCGAAAGCGUGGGGAGCAAACAGGAUUAGAUACCCUAGUAGUC
rnacentral:rRNA from 1 species